AGAAGAAGGUCCUUUAUUGUCAUUGUACAUAAACUAUACAUACAAUGAAAUUUGUCCUCUGCAUUUAACCAAUCCUAAUUAUAGGUAGACACAACCCAACCACUAGCAGCAGUGAGCAGCCAUAGUCUGGCACCUAGUGACGAAUUCCAGAUGGAGAGAUAGUGCCUUGGUCAGAGGCACAGAGAGGAGCAGACCCUAAAUGAGCAUGUUUUUGAUAGUGGGAGGAAAUUGGAGUGCCCGGAGGAAACCCAUGCAGACACUGGUAGAACAUGCAAUCUCUACACAGAAAGGAUCUGUUGGGAAGUAAUCCCAGCACCUUCUUGCUGUAAGGCAACAUUGUUAACUAC